rnacentral:rRNA from 1 species
UUGGGUGGUUAUAGCAUUGGUGAACACCUCUUCCCAUUUCGAACAGAGAAGUUAAGACCAGUAGCGCAGAUGGUACUACCAUUAGGUGGAAGAGUAUGUCACUGCCCUCC